rnacentral:tRNA from 1 species
GAGGGUAUAGCUGGGUGGAAGGGUGCAUGCCUAGCAUGCAUGAGGUGCUGGGUUCAAUCCCCAGUACCUCCA